rnacentral:rRNA from 1 species
UGGGGAAUAUUGGACAAUGGGCGCAAGCCUGAUCCAGCCAUGCCGCGUGAGUGAUGAAGGCCUUAGGGUUGUAAAGCUCUUUCGCCGGUGAAGAUAAUGACGGUAACCGGAGAAGAAGCCCCGGCUAACUUCGUGCCAGCAGCCGCGGUAAUACGAAGGGGGCUAGCGUUGCUCGGAAUCACUGGGCGUAAAGCGCACGUAGGCGGAUCGUUAAGUCAGGGGUGAAAUCCUGGAGCUCAACUCCAGAACUGCCCUUGAUACUGGCGAUCUCGAGUUCGAGAGAGGUUGGUGGAACUCCGAGUGUAGAGGUGAAAUUCGUAGAUAUUCGGAAGAACACCAGUGGCGAAGGCGGCCAACUGGCUCGAUACUGACGCUCAUGACGAUCGAAAGAACGCUGGGGAGCGGAAACGAAAGGCAUUGAUAGAUACCCCUGGUAGUCCACGCCC